rnacentral:rRNA from 1 species
GACGAACGCUGGCGGCGUGCUUAACACAUGCAAGUCGAACGGAAAGGCCAUGCUUUUGUUCGGUGCUCGAGUGGCGAACGGGUGAGUAACACGUGAGUAACCCGCCCCUGACUUUGGGAUAACUUCUGGAAACUGGGGCUAAUACCGGAUAGGAGCUAUUGCUGCAUGGUGGGGGUUGGAAAGUUUCGGCGGUUGGGGAUGGACUCGCGGCUUAUCAGCUUGUUGGUGAGGUAGUGGCUUACCCAGGCUGUGAGGGAUAGCCGGCCUGAGAGGGUGACCGGCCCCAAUGGGACUGAGAUACGGCGCAGACGCCAACGGGAGGCAGUAGGGGGGAAUAUGGCGCAGCAGGCGGGAGCCUGAUACAGCAGCCUCGCGUGCGGAAUGAUGGGCUUCGGGUUGUAAACCGAUUUCUACUUUGAUAAGGAGUUAUUGACGGUAAGGAGUAAAGAAGCACCGGCUAACUACGUG